UUUUUUACAAUGUGGGGGACCAAUAUGGCUGCUUGGUGGCUUCAAAACAACACCACCCUGUCAGUUAUCUAGGGUUAAUACAUAUCAUUGGUAAGCCCUUACUACCAAUGCGAGAAGUGAGCUCAAGAUGCUUUUAAAACAUCAUGCCAUCGAAUAUUACCUUAAUGCUUGUAGCAGCAUGCCACUGAUGUGCGGCUCAUUACCUCUAGACAUUGGCCAUUUCAUUUCACGGGCUCGGUUUUCAUUAGCUGUCCGGGCCUCCUGCCCAUUAACUAAAUUAAGGCUUGGAUGCAAACUUCUGGCUCCAAGCAAGACCUCUGGGCUGCUUAACUGGGCCAGUGAGCUUCACUGACAGAGGGACACAUUUAUUCCAAACCAAGGCCUGACUCAGCCAUGAGAAAGGGGGUGGAUGAGAGAGAGAGAGAGACAGGGAGAGAGACAGGGAGAGAGAGACAGAAAAAGAAACGCAGAGAGUAAAAAAAGAGCUAGAGAAAGCAACGGAGGGGUGUGUCUGAGAUGACCAUAACAUCCAAUUUACAUACAUUACCGUCACACAGCCACAGGAAAUGAAAUAAACAUAAGUCCCAGCAGAGAGUCCUAGCCAGUGAGUUCUUAGUGAGUGUAGAUAUCCCUUCUAGAGGAGUGACGGUGUAGGCAGGCGCUGCCUAGUCAUCAUGACACACCACACCUUCACUUAUCAAGAGGAUGACUGGAAUGUCUAAGACAAAUGGCUGUGGAGCAGCUACCAGGAAGAGGAAAAACAUGUAGCUCCAUGUACAUUAUGGCUUAAUUUGGUUUAAUAUGUCUCCAGUUAGGCAUGAUGCUGAAAUAACAAUAACUUGCAUUCCUGGUACAUUAGAUACGAUGGGUCCUGUUUGCUCCCUGUUAACCUAUAGUUCCUGCUUCCCAGUCUUGUCUUCCUCUCCGUUUCUUUGUUCUUGUGAAUGUUUUUUCUCCUGCAUGAUGGACCUGUAACGGCAUGCACACCAUUUCCGUCCCUGCACUACUUUAUGCGCAGGCACAUGGUUACUAAUACUUUAGGUGGGAGCACUGAGGCUAAGUGAGUACAUCAUAUGCAUUGUAUUGAUGCAAUCCAUGUGGUGUCAUAGCUCAAUACCAUCAAGGUGAGAUUCCCACUCGGAUGUGUUAAUCCAUGAUUCAGCUUGUGAACCAGUCAGGCUAGAGGUGCAUUUAACAGACACACAUGGAAAAUAAACCCAUCUCACCAUAGGAGCAUGAAAAGAAGUACCUAGUGAACUAUUGUACAAGGAGAUACGACUACUUCAAUACCACAGUGUACAUGAGGCUCAGGCAAGUUGAUUUAUAAUGCAGAAUGUCCUCACUAUUUCAUUAUUGCUACUGUCCAUCAAGACAAGAGGCUACAGGGGUUUAACCACCAACAAUACUUUAUAAUUCAUGAUUGUUCUACACAAUUGAUGAACUUUCCCUAUACUGUUGGUUGCCCUUUUUAGUAUUCAGUGAAUGUUAUGUGAGUUAUAUAAAACACUUUUCCCUUGUUGUUAACAGUAACUGAUAUAAAUUACAACAAACACUGGAAUGUAGCUAUUGCUCACUUUUUUAGUUUUGAUAUAUGCUUAUCAUCGAGUUCUCAAAAUUAUAGCAAUAACAUGCAUGCAUACAUGCCAGAGUCAUUGAAAAGUUGAAAUAUCUAACCACAAAAAAGCAUGUGAUUUGUUGCGCAUUUGAAAUGCACAGUCCUAUACGGAGUAGUAACUUUUCCUCGGGGCGGAAGUUGUACCGUUUGCUGACGCUAGGAGCUGUCCAUGGUGCUGAAGCGUCAGCACCGUAUUAGCUGUCUUGACGGUGCUGACAGCACAGAGAGCCAGGAAUCCGUUUACUGAGCGUUACAAUUAAACGGGCUCUGCGUUUCAGUUGAUUGUUGUCAGAUCUACUUAUUGCUCGACUUGCUAAAUAAGUGCAAAAGCAGCACGGCUUUUCUCUGUGUUUCACAGACCUCACGGACAUUUUAUUUAUCCGUUUGCUUAUUUUGCUCUGGAAAGUAUUUAAUACAAGGACGUAUUCUGUGAGCAGAGAGCGACUUCGACUUCAGUAGACAUGUGUAUAAGAAGAGACGACCAAUUACACGUCAUCUUUACGGUGUUGGUUCUCGCUGCUGCGGUGACAAGCAUACAUGGGCAAGUGUCUUCUCUAGAGAAUGGAAAUGUUGGGGGCCAGAGGAGAGUCGAAGCAGACAGCGGAGCCUUCACACACUCGUCCACACAGGACACAGAGAGUGAGAUCCACCAUUUUACCACAGCAUCCUCCAUGAACGUCCCCAACCACCGACCUGUCUUCAGAGGCUUCGCCCUACAUGAACUCCUGCUCACUAAAGAUUUCCAGGGGGACCAGCGGUUUUUCACAGACCAUGGAGAUGUGGAAGGACAUCCCACAAUGCCCGGCUCUGUUACUGCCUUUGAGGCGGGGGAUGCCUCAACUCGCCUGGUGCCACAUGAGGACGCCCCUGCCUUCUCUGACAUCGCCACUACUGCCACGGUGGCUGCCACAACCCCCCUCACCAUCUCUGCUUCCACAGACCCUGGGCUACUGGUGAGCAUGGCUCAGAAUAACCAGUUUGCCAAGGACAAGGCCAGGGAGGCAGAGAAGGUGGCAGUGACCACAGACUCCCUGACCACCCUUGUAGUGGCAACCACUGCCCCUACAGUCAGUGGCCGCAGCCCCAAUGCCCCCCCCUUCCUGAAUGGAAGCGCCUAUGGUCAGGGGGAAGUUAUCAUGGAAGCCACCCUGCCCCCCCCUGUCCUGACCACCUCAGUUAGGGCGGAGAAAGGUGAGUCAGAGGAACCAGGGGUAAAGAACAAAACAGACCCUGGCAUCCAGCUCACUAAACUGACCGCCUUAUCCACAGGAGAGGUGGAUGAGGGAAUGACCACCACAACCAUCAUCACAACCACCACCAUCACCACCAUGCAGACACCAGGUCCCUGCACUGUGAAUUUCACUGACCCCGAGGGCCACAUCAAGAUUCCACAGCAGCAUUCUGCAGCAUUGUCGUCCGACCCUGGAGUGGAUUGCACCUAUGUGGUGACGGUCUACCUGGGAUACGGGAUUGAAGUACAGGUGCUGAAUGUGAGCCUGUCUGAGGGGGAGGUGAUGACGGUGGAGGACAUGGGGGGACGGGAGUCCUCCAUCCUUGCCAACGAGACCGUCCUGAUGAGGGGUCUGGUGGUGCGCAGCUGGAGCAAUCAGAUCUCCAUCCGUUACCGCAGUGACCAGCAGCCUCGCUCCGGCUCCCUGCUGCUGCUGCGUUACCAAGCCUUCGUUCUAAGCUGUGCCUUCCCUAAGGAGCCAGCCAAUGGGGAAGUAUCAGUGACUCACCUCCAUGCUGGGGGAGAAGCCUACUUCCAGUGUCUGACCGGAUACCAGCUGCAAGGCCCCACCAUGCUCACCUGUCGUAACGCCACUACACCUUACUGGAGUGGAAAGGACCCCAAAUGCCUGGCUUCCUGUGGUGGUAUGAUUAAAAAUGCCACGUUUGGCCGUAUUGUCUCUCCUGGAUUCCCUGGCAACUACAGCAACAACUUGACGUGCCAUUGGGUCCUGGAGGCUCCUGAAGGCCACCGGCUUCAUGUACACUUUGAAAAAAUGGCUUUGGCUGAGGAUGAUGACAGACUCCUUAUAAAGAAUGGGAACAACAUUGACUCCCCUCCGGUGUAUGACUCCUACGAGGUGGAGUACCUGCCCAAUGAGGGCGUGGUGAGCACAGGCCGUCACCUCUUUGUGGAGUUCACCACAGAUGGGACGGUCACCUCUACGGGAGCAGCAAUCAGAUAUGAAGCUUUUGCAAAGGGCACAUGCUAUGGGCCCUUUGUGAAGUAUGGCAACUUCACCAGCAGUGACACGGCCUACGGUGUGGGUGCGGUGGUGGAAUUUGCCUGUGACCCUGGCUACACUCUGGAGCAGGGCUCAGUCAUCAUUGAAUGUCUGGAUGCAGAGAAUCCCCAGUGGAAUGAGACAGAGCCAGCCUGCAGGGCUGUGUGUAGUGGUGAAAUCACAGACUCAGCCGGGGUGGUUCUCUCUCCAAACUGGCCGGAGACCUACGACAAGGGCCAGGACUGCAUCUGGGGCAUCCACGUGGAAGAGGACAAGAGGAUUAUGCUGGACAUCCAAGUGCUUAAUGUGGGUAAGAAUGACCUGUUGACUUUCUACGAUGGUGAUGACCUAACAGCUAACAUCCUGGGUCAGUACAGUGGCACCAGGUCUCGCUUCAAGCUCUACACCUCCAUGGCUGAUGUCACCAUCCAGUUCCAGUCGGACCCUGCCACUAACAUCUACGGCUACGGCAACGGCUUCGUGGUCCACUUCUUUGAGGUCCCCAGGAACGAUACAUGCUCUGAGCUGCCAGAGAUCACCAACGGCUGGAAGAGUACCUCCCACCCAGACCUGAUCCACGGGACAGUGGUCACCUACCAGUGUUACCCAGGUUACGAGGUGCAGGGCUCGGAGAUCCUAAUGUGCCAGUGGGACCUGACGUGGAGCGGAGAUGUGCCUAGCUGUGAGAAAGUAAUGACAUGUCCGGACCCGGGGACUGUGGAGCACAGUCGGAGGGUGCUGACGGGAUCCCGCUUCAUAGUGGGAUCAACGGUGCAGUAUGUGUGCAAUAAGGGCUACUCCCUGUCUGGAAGCACACUGCUCACCUGCUACAACAGAGACACAGCUAACCCCAAGUGGAGUGAGAGGCUUCCCAAGUGUAACCCGGAGAGGUACGAGCCCUGCAGGAACCCUGGCGCCCCAUCCACCAGCGUGCAGAGCUUAGAAAAGGCCUUCUACCAGGCCGGGGAGACCCUGAGCUUCACCUGUCGUACCGGCUAUGAGAUGCAGGGGGAGCCCACCAUCCGCUGUGUCCCUGGACACCCGUCACAGUGGAGCGGCACACCACCCACCUGUAGCGCAUCCUCCUCGCAGUAUUUGAAGGAGCGCAAGUUGGAUGUUGCUAGUCCUGACUACGGUAUGGAAGGAAGCAACAUUGUCAUUGCUGUUCUGAUUCCUGCUGCGGUCGUACUGCUAGUCAUCCUGGGGAUUUACCUCUACUUUGCAAAACUUCAGGGGAAGACCAUCAGAAUGCCAACAUCAUCCUUGCCGCCGUAUGACAACAUGACAGAGGAGUCUGCCUUUAAUAACCCAAUCUAUGAGACAGGAGUAAGUAUGGAUGUCAUGCACAUGAAUCUCCGAGACGUGGACUCCCAGAACACCAUAGUCCUGUCCUGAUCCAUCUCAUCGUCAUCUGUCUGCCUGUCAUCUCAUGUUUAACCAGCUGAGGGCACUCUUCACACCGUCUCCCACCGCAGACACGGGGGUCUGAGCUGUGCCUCUCAAUUUGUGGUCUUGUGUUGAAUGCAGACAAGCACCUACAAAUUAUCUCUCUCAACUUUGAAGCGUGGAAGCCCUACAGUUUACUUAGCUUUAAAGCUUUAUAAAAAUAUGUGCAUUUUCAGUGGAUCAAUAGGAUUGUACAAGCACUCAAUCAGUGGAUUGGAUAAGGGACAGAUGUAGUACACUACACAUAUGCGUUUCCAUUUGUGAUGACCUUUGUAGGAUCCAUUUUUAGCUUUGCACAGUGCUUCUGUUCGGACUAUGCUUCUGGAUAGAUGAAUGUAAUAUUUUACUGCAUGAAGGUGAAAAAGCUUGAACAAAAAUGCUUAAUGUCAACUUCAAAGACACUUUAAAGCUCCUCCAUCUUUGUGUCAUCUUCAUCAUGUCAUUCACAUGGGAUUGAGUUCAUUGAGUCUUAUCCAUUAAUUAGUUUGAAUUACUUUUGAAAAGUGUACAUUUAUGGGCCCUAUCAGGGGCGCAACUUUGGUUUUAGAAGUGGGGGGGACAUAUUUAUUAUUAUUUUGUAUUAUAUGUUUUUUUUUAUCCAGUCGGAUAAACACUCCAAACAGCCUACCUGACCGCUCAGAGAUGUCCGCAUGGUCCUGAAACACAUCGUUGCAUCGUUUUGUAUCACAUUCCAUUGAUAAAACUGGGGGGGCCAAAAAUUCAAUUUCAGAAUGUGGGGGGCAUAUUACCCCCCGUCCCCUGUCCACACCCCGUCCACACCCCCCUAUUCCCCGUCCCCAGUCCCCGUCCUCAGUGAAAGUUGCACCCCUGGACCCUAUUAUAAAUGAUUGUUUUUGAAUCACAUAGGCUAUAACAAAUGUCAAUGUACAAUAAUAGACUGUAUUUACAUCUACACUUAGUAUUGACGUUACUUUUAUGUGCUGCACACAGCAUUUCAGAGCACUUAAAAUAACAACCAAAAUCCUUAGAUUUGACAUAUAGUUUGUCAGGAAUUCUUGUACUUGUCUUACAUAUUCCUUUGUCCAUAAGUCCUUCAUAUCUAUAUAGCUGUGUGUACAAAUAUAUCAGUUACAUGUAUUUGAUAGGUCAUUUAAAUGUAUUUGUUUUAUUUAAUGUGAGUGUUGGAUUUGUUGUGCAAUGUCACAGGCACAUUGUGCAAGCAACAGAAUGCUGCCAUGUCUAUUAUUGUGUUGUGUUAAACUAUUCAUCAUCUCUGUUACAAAUGUUAGUGAUGCAUACAAUUCUCCUAAACUACAGCAACUUUGUGCUUGAUAGACCAUCUGACUUGAAUCAUGCCCUUGAUUCAAAAUGUUUUCCUAUUAGUCACUCUGCUGUGGGACUUGAGCGGAUGCUUUGUCUCUCUCAUUCUUUACUUUCAUGUUCUGGACUCCAUUUUGACUGGACCAUACUCUCCUCCUCCACCUCUUCUUCCCAUCAGCCCCGGCAGGCGUUCUGUGAUUACUAAUGACUGUGUCUGUCUGUCCCUCCUUGGCUGCCUGCAGAAGAACAACGAGGGCAAAGGAGAUUAUGAGGUGACCAUUUAAAGACCUUACAGCUAGGGGAAUUCAGGGGUUUCUUUUUGGGACCCUCUCUGCACCUCUCAUCUUACCUGCAAUGACUUCAGCUCCUAUUCCUCCCUCCUUCCUCUUUCUCUUAAUUCACUCCUUUUUGUGGGCUUUUGUAAAUAUGUCUUUCCAGAGGACUUCUACCAAAACUGCAAAGAUGGUGGAUCAACAUGGUGUUAUUUUUGUAGACCUUUGACGCAGAUGGCCUUUCUUUAGUGUUUGUACAUUUUCAUGUCAUAACUGAGCCCAGGACUGGUAACAUUGUGGGGGGGAUACAUUUAGUUCAAAUGGUUUAGGUUUUAAGAUUUACACAAGAAAUGUGAAGAACAAAUGUACGGUUUAUUCAUUGUCAUGGGUCUUGAAAUAUACAGUAUACAUGAAAAAUACAAAAUGACCCAAAGUUGUUUGAACAUUGUCCAAAUAUCAAUUUCACAUUUACCCUGAGUGAACAUUUGUAUUUUUCAAUUUUGCUACUAAAAUUCAACCAUCCAGUCUAUAUAUGGGUUUUAAAUAUCACUUUGUAAAUAACCUGCCUGUCUAAUAUGAGGGUGUCUGCGACUUGAGGAAACAAAUUAGUGCUUUGUUCAAUUUGACUCACAGUUUUGUUGAGAGACAUUUUCUGUGCUAAAACAACUAUAAAUAUACACUUCCUGUCAAAUUUUUAGAACACCUACUCAUUCAAGGGUUUUUCUAUAUUUUGUACUAUUACCUACAUUGUAGAAUAAUAGUGAAGACAUCAAAAUG